GAGAGAGUGAGAGAGUGCACACAAGCUGGGGAGGGGCAGAGAAAGAGGGAGAGUGAGAAUCCCAAGCAGGCUGCAUGCAGAUAGCGCAGAGCCUGAUGGGGGCUCGAUCUCACAACCGUGAGAUCAUGACCUGAGCUGAAACCAAGAGUUGGUCGCCUGAGCCACCCAUGCACCCCCUGGCUAAUUUUUAACAAGAAUUUUGAGGGUUAUAGCGUAUUAAAGAUGAAUGAGAGAUCAAGACAUUAUCUAGUUCUUGUCUAACACAAAUGUUAUAUGGAAAGGAAACCGAAGCCUGUUUAAAGUGACUUGCCCAAGCUCACAUGGUUAAUUUGUGGCAGCAUACAUGCAUCUAGAUUUCAGAACCCAGUCUUGGGUUUUUCAUGCUAGACAUAUUCUUUUUCUGGAGUCCCCGCUGUCCAUGGAAGAUGACGGGACACGAAGCUGAAAAGGUGGUCUGAAGCCAGAUGGUGGAAGGCUUUGUAUGCCAUGCAAAGGGCUUAUCCUGUGAGUGAUGGGGAGCUAGUGAUAGGCUAAGCAUGAGCAUGAUGCUGGAUUUGCAUUUAGAAACGAGAUUUUGUAGUGUGGGGAAUGGGUUCUACCUGGAGGGGUGGGGAAUGGGUGAAGGGUGAAAGGGUGAAUGGGUAUUAGGAAGCUCCUGAAAUAGUCCAUUCAAAAGCAAAACGAUGAAACUGAGUACAAACAAGGGAGUGGGGAGUGGGGUGGGGCUCUGAGAGCACUAUUAAGGAGGUAGAGACAGAACUGAAUGAUUAUUUGCAUAUAGAUGGUGGAUGGGGGUGAAGGGAGAGUGAGCGGUUUGGUGUUUUGUUUUUCCAGGGUGCAAAACAAAUCACCUCACCAACGGAAUGGCUUAAACCAAUGGCUGUCUGUUAGCUACUCACCAUUCUGCACUCUGGGCAGGGUUUGGUGAGAACUCUCCGCUCUGUGCGGUUUCUGAUGGAGCUAGGAGACUCAGGAUGGCUCCUUCACAGACUGCUGCCUCAGGGGAGAUUGCCUUGUCAUCUGAGGGGCCAGCCAGGAAUUUCACCCCUUGUCGUGUCUCUACUCAGCUAGCUUUAGCUUCCUCACAGCACUUCAGUCUCUGAGUCCUCUGACUUCUUUAGUGGUGACUGGUUUCACCUCAGCAUGCAAAAAUAGAAGCUGAAGACCCUUCUUAAGGCAUGGGUGCAGAAAUCCCAGAACAUUAUUUCUGCUGCAUUGGAUUGGUCAGAGCAGUCUCAAGGCCAGACCAGGUUCAAGACCAGGUGAAAAUGGUCCCCAUCGAAGAAUGUGUGGACACGUUUAAUCCAGCACAAUCUGUCCUCUGCUCGCAGAUUAUUUACAUUCUUUCACAUGUGAAGUUCAGUCGGCCCAUACCAAUGACGGCAGUCUUGUGCCAUUACAGCAUCAGGCUCAUACUCAGAUACCAGAAUUUCAUUUGUUAAAUCCUGUACAGGUGCAGAUGCAUUAUGUUGGGUGUGAUGUCUCCAGUGUAGAGACCAGAGAACUAAAAGGACAAGUUAUCCGGUUCCCCCCUCCAGUAUAAAAUGUGAAGGCAGGGACAAGGUAAUUACAGUAGAUGCUGUUCAAAAUGGAUGUGCGGGGAUGGUUUAUGGAGCUACAUAACAGGUACUGGUCUGCAGCAAUUCUGAAAUCCAUUCAGUUCCCCCUGUCCUGGGGGGCAGGGAGUGUACCCUGUGUAGGGUCCCAUUCUCACUGGGAGUGGUUUUUUUGUAGUUCUCUGUUCCAGUUUCUGUGUCUUUCUUUCUUUCCAAUGUCAUGUGACUGUGUUUGCAGCCGAAUAGCUUUUUCAGCCUGCUUCCCACCCAGAAAAGUUGGGGGGCCCAGAGGCUUCCUUUCAUUGUGGAAUGUCUCAUUUCAUUUUAGACCAAGCUGGUAUAGCUUCCAAAGUUUUUAAGGGUUUCCUGUAUAUAAAAUUAUAGUCUACUCUGUUGGACAAAAGUCACAACCAGAAAUAUCUUUGAGAUGAAUUGCCCUUCUGUACUUCAGGCUGGCUGUCAGGUUAAAAUCUUUGUCUAGCCAAGAGAAUCUAGGAGGCAGGUCCUCAGAUCUUUGAGUUUUUUUCUUUUUUACAUUUUUAUUUUUGAGAGAGAGAGAGACAGAGCACACGUGGGGGAGGAACAGAGAGAGAGGGAGACACAGAACCGGAAGCAGGCUCCAGGCUCUGAGCUGUCAGCACAGAGCCCAACGUGGGACUCGAACUCACAAACCGCAAGAUCAUGACCUGAGCUGAAGUCAGACGCUUAACUGAUUGAGCCACCCAGGCGCCCCUUAACAGCUUUUUAAAAAAAUGUUUAUUUGAGAGAGGGAGAGAGACAGAGACAGAGAGCAAGCACAAACGAGUGGGGGAGGGACAGAGAGAGAGAGGAAAGACAGAAUCCCAAAUAGUCUCUUCGUGGUCAGUGCAGACACCCACACGGAGAUCAAUCCCAUGAACUGUGAGAUCAUGACCUGAGCUGAAACCAAGAGUCAAACACUUAACUGACUGAGCCACCCCCGUGCCCCAGAUGUUUAAGGUUUUAAAAAAGAGUUCGUACUUUUUUGAUUUUAUUCUGAAGCCAGUUAUACUGGAAGACCCCUAUUUUGGUCUUUGCCCACAGACUAUGAGGCUAUUUUUUACUUUGGGAGUCUUUUGCUGCGGAAGGCUGCAGUUGAGAAGCUGUUCACUGUUGGACCCAUAAAGUCCUGGACCCCUUAAAUUUCCUCUAAUUUCUGCUUGAAAAUCAAGCAGUUUGUUCUUCGCUUAUCUGGUUUCCCCCAUAUGUUAUCACAGGCAGCUAAAAGAAGCCAGUUGCACUGUUAAGGUUCUUCCUGGAAUCUCUUCGACCUGACUGACAAGCUGCUGUUUCUACCGUGCGCAUUACCACCAACACGUUUCACCCGUUCUGUUGACACACAACUCCUGCCCUCUUUUCUCCACCCUUCAACGGCAGUUUCCUCACUGUCCUACCUCCCAUGAGCAUUUUGUUCAGUGGCCAUAGCAUGUCUACUCCUCAAGCUAAUGCCACAUAAUUUAGGUUUUGGUUUUGGCAUCACCCCAUUUCCAGACACUGAUUUUGUAUUGCUUAAUGCAACACAAACUCACCCUCAGAUUUAGUGUCUUCAAAUAACAACAUGUGUCUACUCAGCACCUUGGAGUUUGGGUUCUCCUUGGUGAGAGAAUAGAUGAUCUCCCUUCCACAUGGCAUCUUUACAUGGCUACCUUGGGCUUCCUCACAGCAUGGUGUCCCAUGGCAGUCCACCUUCUUAUAUAGCUGCUGCUGCUUCUGCAGCUUCUUUCUUCUUUCUUCUUUCUUUUCAAAGAACGAAAGCAGAAGCAGCCAGCCUUCUUAGUGCCUGGGUUCAGACAUCCCAGAGUGCUGUACCAGUUGCAUUCUGUGUGUCAAAGGGCAAGCCCUGAUUGGAAGCAGAGGCGAAUAGCCCCACCUCCCAGUGAGAGAACUAGAAAGAAUUUGAGGCAGUCUCAAGUCCACUGCACUAGGGCAGUUUGUAGUUUAGGUAACUGGUAGAUUAUGAUACUAUCUACUUGGACUAAGUUUUCUGGGAAAGUUUCAUGGUCUACUUAUGGGUAUGUUUCAAAGAAAGCAAGUCCAGAUUUCAGAGACCGUGUUCAAAAUAAACAAGCAAACAAACGAACAAAAACAAAAUAAAGAAAAAGGAGAAGAAACUGGUCCUGCCAAACACACUGACUUACUCUCCCAUUCUUUGCCCCCUACACACACCAUAGUCCUGUUACUAUUUUCAUGUCUUCGACCUGUUGCCACAGUUUUCUAUCAGCUAUAGACAGCAUCUCCGUACAUUUUUAUGUCUGCCCUGCCACUUUAGCUUUUAUCUCCUCCAUUUCUGCUUUGUGCCCCCCCAAAAAAAUUUUUUUUAAGGAGGGUACACACCUACAUGGGGCUUGAACUCAUGACCCUGAGAUUAAGAGUUUCAUGCUGCACUGACUGAGCCAGCCAGGUGCUCCUCUACCUUUUUUUUUUUUUUUUAAUUUUGUUAAAAUCGAUCAUUACAUGAAGUACCUGUAAUUAGUUUCAUGCUUGUAGAUUGAUUUUAAAAUUUGAACAUUUAUAAUUAUAAGUCUCUACCAAUUCUUUUUUUUUUCCUUCUGUGCUUUAAUCCUAUCCUUAAAUUCUUCUUGUAUCUCCAGCACACUAACUCAUCUUGAAACCCUUUGUUUCCUAGAAACCCUUCAGCUCGAGUCUCUGUUAACCUGUUUCAGGGGGGACCCAUGGUGCUGUUCUCUGUGGCAUAGCUCUCCAGCGUGGAUUCACUAUUCCCUACAUCUCAUGACUUCCUGUUUCUUAUUUUACUCUUGUUUUGCUCAAGUAUAUCUUUAAAUAACUUCUCCAAAAUCCUUAUAUGGGUAAAUCUUCUGAAUCUUUUCUUAUCUGAAAAUGUGUCUAUUCUGUGACCACAAUUUUUUAAAAUAUUGUAGGAAAAGAAACACUCAAGUACUCAGAACUUUGUCUCCUAAUGAUGCUAUAAAUAAAUGUAAGGGGUGUGAAUACUUAUUUUUUGUCCCCCACCUAGACUCCCAAGUCUGUGUUAUGAGCUCCCAUUUGUUCUGUCAUUAUUGUUUAAGUUUUUAUUUUUGGUAUUCGUAAUUUUGAGUUGUAGAAAUUGCAGUCAGACAUUAUAGUUAUUGGGUGUAUUUACUGAUAAUUAACUACACUAGACAACAGACUAGUAAAAAUUUCCCUAAAUGGAAAUCAUUAUUGUGAAACAGGUAGUCUUUGAGGAAAAUAAAAAUCCACAAAAAUGUUUGGAGUAUCCUCUCUUAGUUCUUAUCUAAGAGUCUCUUUGCUUUGUUACUGGAGAAACGUAGAUUGCUAAAACUCUUUUUUCAGGAAGGUUUGUCUCUGCAGGUGAACCUGCGCUUUAUCUUUUUAAAGCAUCGUCCACAAGAGCAGUGGUGCUCUUAGGUCAGUUCUGUCACUCCUCCUUUGAAACCGCUGUUGAGAUAAUAAAAGGCCGAGCUAUAAACUCCAUUGACAGCAGUCAUGCCUGGACGAAAAAUGUGCUUUCUUAUUUUAGUAUAAUGAAUGAAAUUGUCUGUGAGGUUUUACUGAGUUUUUUUCUACGCCUCGGAAGGUGUGAGAUUUGACAUCGGUGAUUUUUAAUGAAGGAAACUGGAUUAAGCAUCCACCUUUUACAUAAAUUAUAAACAUAUGAAAUGACCUUGUGGAAAAGAUUGCUUCGAAGCAGAAACUAAAUUAAUAGCCAGUCAUGAGACCAAUAAGGCACUCUGUCGGAAGUCCAGUCAGUGGGUUGCAAAAACAACCUGAUCCUGUAUAUAAAUGAGGAGGUGUACUUACACCGACCAAUUAAAAUGGAAGGAGCAAAAAUUAACUAGUUCUGGAGCCUCAGUACAUACGAAGAUACCAUUUUUCCCCCUCUAAGGGGUUGUGAACUUCAUAAACUGUUUAUGGGUUUGCUGUAUCUGGUGAUAUCAAGUGAUAUAAGAAAUCUUUAUAAAUGGCCUUUGCUAGUAUACAGAUAUUUUACUUUAAUGUUGGAAGGAUGCUUAUUGUGACCUGUAAACCUCGCUACUCAUUUUUAAAAAAAGUAUGUGAGGGGUGCUUGGAUGGCUCAGUCAGUUAAGCAUCCGACUUUGGCUGAGGUCAUGAUCUUGUGGUCUGUGGGUUCGAGCCCUGCAUUGGGUUCUGUGCUGACAGCUCAGAGUCUGGAGCUGGCUGUGUUCUGUGUCUCCCUCUCUCUGACCCUCCCCCGCUCAUGCUCUCUCUCUGUCUCUGUCUCAAAAAUAAAUAAACAUUAAAAAAAAUUUUUUUUAAGUAUGUGUGAAGUGCCUAGAUGGUUCAGUCUGUUGAGCGUCCAACUUUAGCUCGGGUCAUGAUCUCACGGUUUGUGAGUUCAAGCCCGACGUAGGGCUUGCUCCCGCUUCAGAUUGGAUCCUCUGUCCCCUUCUCUCUCUGCCCCUCCCACACUGAUGUGCAUGUGUGUACUCUUUCUCUCUCAAAAAUAAAUAAUAAAACAAAAGAAAAAAAAAGUAUGUGAAAAGAGAUAUAUCCUUUUCAGCUCUAACUUACUGCCAAGUAGAUAGAGACAAGUACGUGCACCUGCAGGGUUCCAAUUUCUUUGACUUUUAGGGAACUUACACUUUUAUCCUUAAGCUUCCCUCACAAAGCUGCUUUAAUACUUAAAGAAAUAGCAAUAUUCAUUUCAGAAAAUACAUUGAAAUUUGAUGAACUUACUUUUUAAUUCACACACUUCUACCCACCAACUUUCUGACCAUAAACAAUUGUUUGCAUACUUGGAAACUUCUAUACUGGACGUGAUCUUUCUGAAGGCAGUGGUUUUUUAUCCCCCUACUGCCAAAUCUAGCAAGAGUUUUGCACAUAUAAUUGUGCAAUAAGUGUCUGUUGAAUGAAAUUAAUUACAUGUGGUCCCAUUCCUGUUGUUGUUUUCCUUUAAUUCAGUAAACUAACUCAUCUUCUAGGCAAGUAAAUAUCUGAAUUAUUCAAGAAAGACUCUUACUUAUACCAUUUAAAGACUUUACCCAAGAAUGUGUAACCUACAAAUUUCUCUGUUGGUCUGUUGUCUCUUUGUAUCAAAAGGUUCAUUUUAAUAUUUGACCUAAUGGUUCUGAACAAUUUUCAGACUUAAAAAUUGGCACAUCUCCUUCCCCUGCAAUUCCUCAAACCACUGCCAGCAAUACAACUUGACAACCUUUUCAUACCAUACAUGUGGAUAACUUUGGGAGUAAGGACUGGGACAGGGCUGGGUAACCCCCAUCUGCCAUGCACUGGAAGUCUGCUGUUUGUAGACAUGGCCUAUGUAUAGAAAGCCAAGUGGCCAGUAGUGGGAAUUGUCUGGUAGAUCCAGUAGAGCAAAGGAUAUCCAUUGAUUCAUA